AUGGCGUUCGCUCUGCAGGGUUGGGCGGUUCAGGUUUCGAGCCUCUUAGAGCGGCUGGAGGCUAUCAGUGACAGUGUUGUUUCUUCGCCGACCAUCAAUGGGUCUCCUGAGGUGCGAGAGGAUGGGACUUUGAGGAUCGGUGGAGGACAUUUCUCUUCCUCGGCGCCGAUGGAUCCGCCUCCCCCCUGGUGUGAGCAUGAGGAACCGGCACCUCUCGUUGUUGCUUGUGCUAAGGGUGUCAGUGAGACUAGUGUGGCUGGUUGCUCGUCCGAGGUACUGGCUACUAUGGCGUUUCCUGCAGAUGUUCUUCCUACUUUCGAUGUAGUUUUGCACAAGAUGAUGAUUCAACACAAGGAGGAGCAAGGAACGGUUGAGGAGAUAGUCAAAGUGAGUAAGGACAUGGAGCAGAUUGAGGUGGUUUUGCCCACUGGCUUGGCUGCAGAGGUGCCUCCCUUGGUAUCCUCUCCAGUGAUGCUUUCUUCAGGGGGCACUACCAAUAUGAUGUCUUGGGUGUCCGAGGAGCUACUUGGUAACAUUGGCAUGCCUCAAGGUCCGGGUUCAACCACCUUGUUGGAUGAGUUCCUAAGUAGUUUCAGUUGCACAGCUCCGCGGUCCUUGCUCGAAGCACCGAUUCAUGUGCAGAUUGAAGGGGCAUCUACUUGUCCCGAGAGGCGUAGUGGACGUAUGGAUAAAAAGAACAAAAGUUGCAACAUCCAGACUGCCAAGCGUGCUGAAUAUAGGUUGGCGGAGGCUUUUGGGGAGCUACCGAAGGGAAUGACAUCUAAGAAAGUCACCGAGGAGGAUGUGCAAGAGAAGAUGAAGACUUAUUUGCAGAUGUACAAGAAACCGCUCACGUCGACGGCGAUCCAGGCAAUUCGUGCCUUGGUGGAGGUUAAUGUGUGA
rnacentral:rRNA from 1 species